rnacentral:rRNA from 1 species
GAGGAAUUUUCCGCAAUGGGCGAAAGCCUGACGGAGCAAUACCGCGUGAGGGAUGACGGCCUUCGGGUUGUAAACCUCUUUUUUCAGGGAGGAAGUUCUGACGUGUACCUGAAGAAUAAGCAUCGGCUAACUCCGUGCCAGCAGCCGCGGUAAGACGGAGGAUGCAAGUGUUAUCCGAAAUUAUUGGGCGUAAAGAGUCUGUAGGUGGCCUAGCAAGUCUAGUGUUAAAUGUUGAAACUUAAUUUCAAACCUGCAUUAGAAACUGCUAAGCUUGAGUAAAGUCGAAGUAGAAGGAAUUUCCAGUGAAGCGGUGAAAUGCGUAGAUAUUGGAAGGAAGACCGAUGGCGAAA